GAGAGAAGCUGCUGUCUGCUGAACUGGAAAGUCCACACUGCAGACUGGCAACUCUGAGACUGAGGGACUGCAGGUUUUCACAGAUCCGCUGUGCUUCUCUGGCCUCAGCUCUGAAGUCCAACCCCUCACAUCUGAGAGAGCUGGACCUGAGCAGGAACAGCCUGCAGGAUUCAGAUGUGCUGCUGCUGUCAGAUUUUCUGGAGAGUCCACACUGCAGACUGGAGACUCUGGGAUUGAGGCACUGCGGUUUGUCAGAGAUCAGCUGUGCUUCUCUGGCCUCAGCUCUGAAGUCCAACCCCUCCCAUCUGAAAGUACUGGACCUCAGUCACAACAACAAGCUGCAGGAUCCAGAUGUGCUGCUGCUGUGUGGUUUUCUGGAGAGUCCACACUGCAGACUGGAGAC